rnacentral:rRNA from 1 species
GACGAACGCUGGCGGCGUGCCUAACACAUGCAAGUCGAACGAGGUCCAUCUGGUGGCAACACCAGUGAAGACCUAGUGGCGAACGGGUGAGUAACACGUGAGGAACUUGCCCCGGAGACCGGGAUAACUCUUCGAAAGGAGAGCUAAUACCGGAUAUCUCCACCUGGUCGCAUGGCCGGGUGAAGAAAUGGAUUCCGCUCCGGGAGAGCCUCGCGGCCUAUCAGCUUGUGGUGGGGAACGCCACCAAGGCGUCGACGGGUAGCUGGUCUGAGAGGACGAUCAGCCACACUGGGACUGGAGACACGGCCCAGACUCCGUACGGGAGGCAGCAGGUGGGGAAUCUUGCGCAAGUGGGACGAAAGCCUGACGCAGCAACGCCGCGUGCGGGAUGG